GCUUUGGUGGCUCAAUCGGAUAGAGCGUUUGACUUCUAAUACAAAACAUGAGCGUAUCAAGAACACCCCGAAGCA